rnacentral:lncRNA from 1 species
UCUAGCUGUAUGGACUGGGGCAUUAUCAUCUUGAGGUGAAGGUGUUUCCAUUAUUUUGUCCAACUCCUGUAUAUAUCUAUGUUCUGUUUAGUGUGUGUUCUCCCCCCGUCCUGUAGGUGUGCUGUGCUCCUUUUGUGUCUGUUUGUUUGCAGGUGCUGAUUGGUGGAGCAUGAUUGCCCCGCCCUUUAAAAAUGGCCCUGGAGCUUCCGUCCUCGCUCUCUCUUGCCUUCUGCCAGCUCCCAACCCUGUGUUCGUAGUGUUUCAACGUGCCACUUGUGAAUGGCUGAUGUGUUAUCCACAAUGAAGAAACAUCCCAGGCCUGUUUUAUCAGAUUACCUCCUGAGUGUGACGGCGCUGCUAACAUGUGAUUUGGCUCAGCUGUAAUCGGCAGAUGCACUAAUGGAGGCUGAGGUUAUCCAUCACACGUGCUCGUCUGGUCGGACCCGGAGCUCAUACGUCAACGCCAGACUCGGGGAGGGGUUCCCAUCUGUGCCCCUCUCUGCCGGCAUCUCAACGAUGACAAAUGUGCCACCUGCAGUGGAAAUAUUGAG